CAAUAGCGUAUAUUAAAGUUGUUGCGGUUAAAAAGCUCGUAGUUGGAUUUCUGCCGAGGACGACCGGUCCGCCCUCUGGGUGUGUAUCUGGUUUGGCCUGGGCAUCUUCUUGGAGAACGUAGCUGCACUUGACUGUGUGGUGCGGUGUCCAGGACUUUUACUUUGAGGAAAUUAGAGUGUUUCAAGCAGGCACACGCCUUGAAUACAUUAGCAUGGAAUAAUAAGAUAGGACCUCGGUUCUAUUUUGUUGGUUUCUAGAGCUGAGGUAAUGAUUAAUAGGGAUAGUUGGGGGCAUUCGUAUUUAACUGUCAGAGGUGAGAUUCUUGGAUUUGUUAAAGACGGACUACUGCGAAAGCAUUUGCCAAGGAUGUUUUCAUUGA
rnacentral:rRNA from 1 species